rnacentral:lncRNA from 1 species
GCAGAUUCUUCCUCAGGAGCUACAAGGGAGGAUGAACCCUGCGACGCUGCAGCAAGUUGAGAGGUGGUCUGAAGCACUUAGCCUAAAUGCUGAGGCUGCAGAAGACCCGUCCAUCUCGGGCCGCCCCUGCUCCACACCUGGUGAGACUCACUUCAGCCAAGAGGAGCAGGAUGCCAACCACAUCAGGAUGGCUUUGUGUCAGCACCCGAUCCCUGGAGCUACAGUCUGCUAA